rnacentral:lncRNA from 1 species
CCAAGGUCAACAAAUUCCAACUCAAUGUCAACCAAGGUCAACCCAACCAAACCCAACCCAAGGUCAACCAAACCCAAGGCAAGGUCAGCCAAGGUCAACCAAACCCAACUCAACGUCAACCAAGGUCAACCCAAUCCAAGUCAAGGUCAACCAAGGUCAACCCAAUCCAAGUCAAGGUCAACCAAACCCAACCCAAGAUCAACCCAAGUCAAGGUCAACCCAACCCUUGGUCAACCCAACCAAUGGUCAGCAAGGCCAAACCAACCCAACGACCAACGCGAGUCAAGACCGGACAAUCGAUGGUCAACGUCAAGACCAACCCAACGGUCAUCUCAAGACCAACCCAAUGGUCAGCUCAAGAUCAAGACCACCCCAGUGGUCAGCCCAAUUAACCGUUCACGAAAUCAAGACCAACCCAACGGUCAUCUCCAUCCAU